GAUGAACGCUGGCGGCGUGCCUAAUACAUGCAAGUCGAGCGAACGGACGAGAAGCUUGCUUCUCUGAUGUUAGCGGCGGACGGGUGAGUAACACGUGGAUAACCUACCUAUAAGACUGGGAUAACUUCGGGAAACCGUAGCUAAUACCGGAUAAUAUUUUGAACCGCAUGGGUCAAAAGUGAAAGACGGUCUUGCUGUCACUUAUAGAUGGAUCCGCGCUGCAUUAGCUAGUUGGUAAGGUAACGGCUUACCAAGGCAACGAUGCAUAGCCGACCUGAGAGGGUGAUCGGCCACACUGGAACUGAGACACGGUCCAGACGCCUACGGGAGGCAGCAGUAGGGAAUCUUCCGCAAUGGGCGAAAGCCUGACGGAGCAACGCCGCGUGAGUGAUGAAGGUCUUCGGAUCGUAAAACUCUGUUAUUAGGGAAGAACAUAUGUGUAAGUAACUGUGCACAUCUUGGCGGUACCUAAUCAGAAAGCCACGGCUAACUACGUG
rnacentral:rRNA from 1 species